CCUACGGGAGGCAGCAGUGGGGAAUCUUGCGCAAUGGGCGAAAGCCUGACGCAGCCAUGCCGCGUGAAUGAUGAAGGUCUUAGGAUUGUAAAAUUCUUUCACCGAGGACGAUAAUGACGGUACUCGGAGAAGAAGCCCCGGCUAACUUCGUGCCAGCAGCCGCGGUAAUACGAAGGGGGCUAGCGUUGCUCGGAAUUACUGGGCGUAAAGGGAGCGUAGGCGGAUAGUUUAGUCAGAGGUGAAAGCCCAGGGCUCAACCUUGGAAUUGCCUUUGAUACUGGCUAUCUUGAGUACGGAAGAGGUAUGUGGAACUCCGAGUGUAGAGGUGAAAUUCGUAGAUAUUCGGAAGAACACCAGUGGCGAAGGCGACAUACUGGUCCGUUACUGACGCUGAGGCUCGAAAGCGUGGGGAGCAAACAGGAUUAGAUACCCUGGUAGUCCACGCUGUAAACGAUGAGUGCUAGUUGUCGGCAUGCAUGCAUGUCGGUGACGCAGCUAACGCAUUAAGCACUCCGCCUGGGGAGUACGGUCGCAAGAUUAAAACUCAAAUGAAAUUGACGG
rnacentral:rRNA from 1 species